rnacentral:rRNA from 1 species
CACGUAGGGCGCAAGCGUUGUCCGGAAUCAUUGGGCGUAAAGAGCGUGUAGGCGGUUCGGUAAGUCGGCUGUGAAAGUCCAGGGCUCAACCCUGGGAUGCCGGUCGAUACUGCCGGACUAGAGUUCGGAAGAGGCGAGUGGAAUUCCCGGUGUAGCGGUGAAAUGCGCAGAUAUCGGGAGGAACACCUAUGGCGAAGGCAGCUCGCUGGGACGUUACUGACGCUGAGACGCGAAAGCGUGGGGAGCAAACAGG